UCCUGAGAAACAUAUGAUUAUAGUGGGCGGGCAGGUUUUGGUCAGGGCUGGCAAGUAUUUCAGCUAGCCAGUCCUGUGGUCUGGCUGAAAAUUUUGGGAGUUUCAUACCCUGCAAAUACUUGGGUUCCAUGGGAAGCAUAUCUGUGUAUUCAGUGAACAGGUGGCACAAACGUUUCUCUUUCGACUCAAACCCGCAACCCACGUGUCUGUGUGAUGCUUGCAGCUCGAGUGGCACAGUUUUAGGACAUGUAUUGGGUGCACAAGAUCUACAACAUUUUAAGAAAUAUGCAAUACUUUUAGAAAUAAUUAUGGCAGUUAUCAGGUAUGUUCAGAGGAAUGGAGCUUUACUUUGUCCAUCUCAACACAUGGUUGUUUUCUACUUUUAACAACGCGCAAUCUAUAUGCAAUGUUGCAAAUGUGUCACAAAGAUUGAUUUGGGAAGAGAUCAGGAAAGAAAGGAAGAGAAAGUUUUUAAAGAUUUGCAUAGGAGAAAGUCUUUGAACCAAGGUAUUUUUUUAAUAGCAGAUGGAAAUAAAGACUGUACAGACAUGUCGUAAAACAUCACCUUGGAGCACACAGCCUCUUUCAUUCAUUUUAGCGAUUUUUGUGUACUUGAACAUGCCAGAAGUGUAAAUGGAGUUUUCAACUAUUUGAACAUUACUGAGGAUUUUGAUGUCGUUUUUACAAAGUUUACUGUAAUAUUAAAAAUUGUCACUUCUGGUGAUCGAAAAAUAAUUCUCAAUUACCCUUGUCCUUUCUGGGAACACAUUCUGAGUAUCCGCCUCAACCCUGGAAACACAGUAUGUUUAUUUCCUACAUUUCUUGUGAAUGUAACAAGAAAACCACAUCCAUAAUACUCAGAACUGUAGUUGU